rnacentral:lncRNA from 1 species
CAACACCUCGGGUAUAUGAGAGGAAUAAUUUCCUUAAGGACACACUGUGUAUUCAGUAAGCUCAAUUUAUUCCUAUACUGAAUUUUCAGAAUUUAUUUCGUUAAACAAGUAUUACUAACUUUCUAUUUUAUUUAUAUAUUUCAGAAAGUUUAAUGGUUUAAUUGUUUAUUAAAGCGAUACAGAUUUAUAACACAUCCAACUGCAGGACAAGUAAUAUAAACAACUUAAUCCAACUGGAAAAAUUUCUCUGGUAGGAAAUUGACAACGUUUAGAAAAAUGUUUUCAACAAGCAAUUUAUGGAUGAGGAUUACCUCUAAUUUGGAGAACUAAAGUUGACUGUGUUUUGAGAGCUAACUUGAAAGUUGAAACCUGUAUCUUUAGUCAACAAGUAUCUUGUGUGGAUCGGAAUUAUUUUUCUUAGAUCAUUUAUGAACCACGAUGCACUGUGGCAGAAAAUGCGACUGGAUGCUGGAUAGAACAAUUGUUUAUUGGACUUCAAUCGGAGGAGAGCUCAAACCAAAUUCUACGAAUAAUGGACAUGAGAAUCGUCUGUUUACCUACAAACAAGAAGAAGUAUAUCCAAAAGGGCUAGCAAAUCGUGGCACAUUCGAGCCAUUCAACCCUUUUCUUGGAGUUCUAUUUUGAAACUUAUGAAAUAUUGCGCACUUGAAAUUUGAGUGUCUAAAGAAUGAGUUCUAUUGCCCCUUUUUUUCAAAUUAGAAUUGUCUAUAAGAGGGAAUUCCCUCAUCAUUACUGUGUGCCAAUGCUACUAAUCUAUAAGAUAAAGUUAUUAAGAAAGGCAUAUAUGGAUCCACUAGUGCAAUAUAUCAACAACGAGCAAAAUCUAUCUAAUACACAUGACUAUUCAAAGCUCAAAUCAAUGAGAUUUUGCUAUAUUUUCUUCCUGAAUACAUGCAGAUUCAAGUAAAGAGGGCAAUACAAGGGGAGUAAGUAAAGGAAUGGGAUCUUUACUGUGACAACAAGAUGGAUAUGAAGCAGAAGAAGAAGAAUCCAUUGGCCUUAACAAUGCACCCUUAAAAUCAAGAGAACUGCUGCUAGUCUUGAGCUGAAGAGGACGAGGAGCGCGCAUUUGCAACCUGCUUAGUGUCCUUUUCAAUACUGCAAAUUCAUCUUUGGGUAUACAAGUUUGGAAACCAGGAAAUUCAUGUUCAUUACCACAUCCCUCCAUAACUUUCAUCUGUUUAUUCAACAACUCUUGCUAGAGAGUAGACUAAGCUCGUAGUACCUUUUAAUUUGAGUAAUAUUAUCUUCGCUGUGGAUGAUCUAGUCGGGGCCUGGGGGGCCUGUACAAACGAAUUGAUUUCGCCAAGGUAUACGCUUUGAUUGUCACCAAGAAUUUAUGAGGGGGGACCUAUAAGGAUAUGCUUGCUAGUACGAUCGAAAUAUUAUUUGGAUUUUUCUUGUUUACAGUAUGCUCCAUACUCCUAUGCAGGAAUUAAUGAUAUCUUAAUGGGAACAUGGUCCAACCUCAUGAUACCUUACUAUGGCCUAAAUAUUGAUAAAAUUGCAUCUUUGGUCCUUAUUUGCAAUUAAAUGUUAAUUUUAGUCCCUGUCUUAC